UGCACAUUUUGCUCGGGCAGCCCCUGCGCUAUCACCCACGCACCAGGUACAGUGAGUGUAGCGUAGACUUCCUGUUUACAAACCCCAAGACCUCCAGCUUCCCGCCACACAGACCUGCGGUCGCUCAAGCGCUAACUUAACGUGACAUGGAGCGAGAUGCAGUAUAAGUUCAUUAACCCUUUCACAAUCCCGAAUGUGUACGAAUGCAGUCGCACCCACCCAUCCCAUUGCCUGAGGUCAUGGAGUCCCACCCCAGAACAAGCCAUGGCACAUUCCAGGACACUCAGGGUCUGCCAGCAGUCCCCCCCGCAAUACAUAUACACACACCCUCCACUGUCUCAAAACUAAUACAGCUCAUAGUGUACCCUACACUCAAGGGGUUGUCGGAUAUUAGUGACAAUAUUCACUUUAUGCUUCACCUUUUUGACACGUCUUCUUUACAUGUAACAACUGAAUUGUUAAUUAAAAAUAAGAAACCAAA